rnacentral:rRNA from 1 species
AUUGAACGCUGGCGGCAUGCCUAACACAUGCAAGUCGAACGGCAGCACGGCAGUAGCAAUACUGUGGGUGGCGAGUGGCGGACGGGUGAGGAAUACGUCGGAAUCUGCCCAGUCGUGGGGGAUAACUAGCCGAAAGGUUAGCUAAUACCGCAUACGACCGAGAGGUGAAAGCGGGGGACCGCAAGGCCUCGCGCGAUUGGAUGAGCCGACGUCGGAUUAGCUAGUUGGGGGGUAAAGGCCCACCAAGGCGACGAUCCGUAGCUGGUCUGAGAGGAUGAUCAGCCACACUGGAACUGAGACACGGUCCAGACUCCUACGGGAGGCAGCAGUGGGGAAUAUUGGACAAUGGGCGCAAGCCUGAUCCAGCAAUGCCGCGUGUGUGAAGAAGGCC